rnacentral:ncRNA from 1 species
AGAGUAAAAGCGAGUUCGUUAAGUGCCUGUCGGACGGGGAGUUGCCGAUAGGACGAAGGCGCAGUGCGCCGCGGUUCGCGCUUUGCAUCCCGCU